UACACAUUUAAUAUCACUUUUGAAAGAAAAAUUAAUUUUUUUCCAUCGGCAUCACACCAGACAUGAAACUCUAUCAACCAAGUGAUUUCUAUUCCUCGGGACUCCCAAUCAUCAUGUGAAGGUAUGCAAAUACAUUCGGAUAUCGAUAAUACAGCUGAUUCAUGUUCUCUGGUCCCGCAAACACACAGAAAAUAUGUGGGGUGGUAAUUUUUCGACCGAUUCCAAUACUUUAACUUACACGUGUGUGCGGAAAAGUAAUAUAAUGAUAACAAUAACUUCUAUUGUUUUCACUGAGCUCAGUUGUAUAUAUGAACCGCCUAGAAUAAAUCAGCAUUACUAGAUAAAUGUCUUCAAAUGCGUUAUAGAAAAAAGUACGUCAGCAAUAGUGUCAAAAACUAUAUGUGACGCGUUAUAUAAAAAAGUUCGCCAACAAAAGCGUGACAUCGUCCAUACAUUUUAUAACGCUUUUGCUGACUGAGUUUUUUCAGUAACGCAUUUGAAGACAUUUAUCUAGUAAUGUUGAUUUAUUCUAAGUGAUUCAUAUAAACAAUAAUUCCGAACGAUAUUAUCAAAUUGACAAUGUCCAUGCCCUUAGGCGGGGUUCGAUUUUUUGCACAUUUAUUUCGAACCACGCAUAUUUUGGAAUUAUAAUAAUUUUUUAAUAAGUGUUCUCACAACAAAAUCAGUUAGAAAAAAAUUCCUAGCUCUGGAGAAAAUUAAUUAGAGGGUUAAUAUCAGUUUUCAAUCUCAAAAUACGAUAUAUUGGCAUUUUUUAAAUUGUUUCAAACUUUUUCAGAGCUAUGUUUUGACAUUUGGAUCCAGCAUAGGCUUAAACCAGUACUGUCCAGUAAUUUAUUCAUUAUUAUUCCGAAUAAUUAUUAUAAUCAACAAUAAAUAUAUUCGACAUAACCACAUAAAUAUUUCAAUGAAAUUUUUCGUGAUGUUUUUAUCUUAAUUAAAUUCAUAUUGCAAAACCACAUAAGUGAAUAAAUUAUUAUAUGAUUAUUAUACAAUGAAUUAUGAAUUUAAGAGGCUUUUUUAGCACAUGAUAAAACGAAAAAUGAAGGGAAGUCUAGCUGUAGUCAGCGUGAACUUCCGUAUUAUCUUAAACAAAAAUUAUGACAUACCUUUAUUAUAUGAUGCUUACACUAAUUGCUUUGGCGUCCAAUAAAAUUUUAUCUGCAAUAA